rnacentral:lncRNA from 1 species
GUUCCUGUGCAGCUUUUGCUGCUAAACGUAACCAUUUCGGCGCCGGGCGGCUGCGGCGGGGGCGGACGCGGGCUGCCUGCGGAUGAGUUUCCCUCCACCCGCGGAGAAACGGGGCGCCCGGUAAAUCAGCCGCCAAAGAAAACUCCUUCCCCGCUCCAUCCCGCCGCCGAACGCCCGGCGGCACCCGGCUGGGCAGCAGGCUCCGCUCGGCCUCCCUUCCCCUCCUUUCCGCCGCCCGCGCCCUUCUGCCACCGACGGGCGGGCAGCGGGGCCGGCGCUUCGCCGCCAAAUAAACCGCUUCGGCUCGGAGGAGGAGGCGAGGCGGCGCUGGCCGCCACCCAAGCGCGGCGGGGCCGCGGGGCGCGGGCAGUGGAAAGAGGUUCCAGGUUAAUCUUCAUCCGUCGUACCACCGAAUCUGUCCGGCCUUUGGCCAGAGAACAGUGGGAUUUCUGCUCUUUGCCCUCCCCUCGGAAGUGAUUGAAGCGAGGGAGCACAGGCUGAAGUUAAAAAAAAGCACUUGAAUCUCUUUAUAUUAUUUUAUUUUAUUUUACUUUAUUUUACUUUAUUUUAUUUUAUUCUCUUUAUUUUUCAUCUGCACAAUUUCCAAAUCUUUAUUAUCAAUGGUGUAAAAACUUUUCUAAAUUUUGUCUCCCCGUGGUCUCCCUCCAGCCCUGUUUUUAUAGUACGUUGAUGGCUGUAGAUUAGUCUUAGUAGGAUAUGAAGUACAUCAGCGGUGGUAUAACAGGCACCAUAAAUCCAAACUUUUUCAUUCCUUUUCAUUAAAAAAUCCCCCAGCAUUUCCAGUUUUUUGAUAUCUUUCAACUGAGUUCUUUGAAUAAGAAUGGGCACAUCCAAUGUCUCCUUUGUCUAUUUUUCUCUAGCGCGGACAGACAUGUGGAAAUCACUGCCAUUACAGGAAGCAGAACAAAUAAUACUUUUUUUUUUUCUGAAGAAUCUCCUCGGCCACAUUUGUAAGGAAAGCUUAAUGAUUAUUUUUUUUUUCCUCUUUGUUCAUCCCUUUUGAAAAGUAUCACAGGAAUGAGUGAGGGGUCAGUUUGUACCACUUAAAACACCUUUUAAUAGCAGAGCCAGAGCUUAAUCUAUUAUAUGAAAUAUCCUUGCAGGACUAUAGCACUUGGGUUUUCUUUAACACAUACAAAGCUGUGUAGAGGAGUCAAAUUAUUAAUAACUAGAAAACCCUCCAAAAAAGACUAACUGUUGCAGGAGGUAUCUUUUUUCCCUGCUUGACUUAGCAAGCAAGCUGUAGGUGGCUGUAUCUUAUUAGUUAAUAAACAAUAUAUAGACAUAAAUCCUUUGGACUCG